GACAGAGGUGCCAAGCGUUAGGCGGAAUCACUGGGCUUAAAGCGUGUGUAGGUGGAAGCGUAAGUACCUUGUGAAAUCCCACGGCUUACCCGUGGAACUGCUCGGUAUACUGGUUGUCUUGAGCCACCUAGGGGCGAGUGGAACAAAUGGUGGAGCGGUGAAAUGCGUAGAUAUCAUUUGGAACGCCAAUGGUGAAAACAACUCGCUGGGGGUGUGCUGACGCUGAGACACGAAAGCCAGGGGAGCGAACGGG
rnacentral:rRNA from 1 species